rnacentral:tRNA from 1 species
CGGGGUGUAGCUCAGUUGUAGAGCACGAGCUUGGCAAGCACAGGGUCCUGGGUUCAAUCCCCAGUACCUCCA